rnacentral:rRNA from 1 species
CACGUAGGGUGCGAGCGUUGUCCGGAAUUAUUGGGCGUAAAGAGCUCGUAGGCGGUGUGUCGCGUCGGCCGUGAAAACCUGGGCUACUUACUGGUGGCUGCGGUCGAUACGGGCAUCACUGAGUGUCGGCAGGGGAGACUGGAAUUCCUGGUGUAGCGGUGAAAUGCGCAGAUAUCAGGAGGAACACCGGUGGCGAAGGCGGGUCUCUGGGCCGAUACUGACGCUGAGGAGCGAAAGCUGGGGAGCGAACAGG